GAGGAAUAUUGGGCAAUGGCCGCGAGGCUGACCCAGCCAUGCCGCGUGCAGGAAGAAGGCCCUAUGGGUUGUAAACUGCUUUUGUACGGGAAGAAUAGGCACUACGAGUAGUGAUUUGACGGUACUGUACGAAUAAGCAUCGGCUAACUCCGUGCCAGCAGCCGCGGUAAUACGGAGGAUGCAGGCGUUAUCCGGAUUCAUUGGGUUUAAAGGGUGCGUAGGCGGGCGAUUAAGUCAGUGGUGAAAUCUUUCAGCUUAACUGAGAAACUGCCAUUGAUACUGAUUGUCUUGAGGAUAGUUGAGGUAGGCGGAAUGUGUCAUGUAGCGGUGAAAUGCAUAGAUAUGACACAGAACACCGAUUGCGUAGGCAGCCUGCUGGACUAUGGCUGACGCUGAUGCACGAAAGCGUGGGGAUCGAAC
rnacentral:rRNA from 1 species